GUGUCAGCCGCCGCGGUAAUACGAACUGUGCGAACGUUAUUCGGAAUCACUGGGCUUACAGGGUGCGUAGGCGGCCGUUCAGGUCAGGUGUGAAAUCCCCCGGCCCAACCGGGGAAUGGCGCUUGAAACCGUUCGGCUUGAGUGACCUAGAGGUGCAUGGAACUUCCAGUGGAGCGGUGAAAUGUGUUGAUAUUGGAAGGAACACCAGAGGCGAAAGCGAUGCACUGGGGGUUAACUGACGCUGAGGCACGAAAGCCAGGGGAGCAAACGGGAUUAGAUACCCUAGUAGUCC
rnacentral:rRNA from 1 species